CUAAAGCGUGAUUAAAUUAUAUUUAAGUAAAUAGAAAUAAAAAUUAACUCAACUGUCGUACGUAUAUGUUAAACGGCGAACCAUAAACGAAAGAUAUUCUAAUAAACAAACUACUUGAACCCACGAAAGCUAAGAAACAAACUAGGAUUAGAUACCCUACUAUGUUUAGCCUUAAACUUUGGAAUACCCGCCCGAGCACUACGAGCCACAGCUAAAAC
rnacentral:rRNA from 1 species